CAUGCUGAAGCAUAUAUGAUAUUUUUUGUUUUAUGACUUUAGUGAUGCUUCAAAAAUAUAUGAAUGUCCAUAGCCUGACUACAGUUCUAAAUUUCCAGUACAACUCACAAGAUUUGCUUGUAUGUAUAUUAUUUGUAUUUAAUUA